rnacentral:rRNA from 1 species
AGGAAGUAAAAGUCGUAACAAGGUUUCCGUAGGUGAACCUGCGGAAGGAUCAUUAUCGAAAUCGAAGGCCUAGGAGGGGAGACCCUCCGAAGCUUUUCAAGCAUUCUCAACACCCGUGUGCACCCGCUGUAGGUCCUUCGGGAUCUACGUCUCACCUUUCGAACUCGUAUGUCCAUAGAAUGUAUCGAGUCGCUUCGGCGACGGCGAACCUUAUACAACUUUCAGCAACGGAUCUCUUGGCUCUCGCAUCGAUGAAGAACGCAGCGAAUCGCGAUAAGUAAUGUGAAUUGCAGAUUUUCCGUGAAUCAUCGAAUCUUUGAACGCACCUUGCGCUCCUUGGUAUUCCGAGGAGCAUGCCUGUUUGAGUGUCAUCGAAAUAUCGAACCGAACCCUUCGACCCGUCGGGGAGGCUCGGUUCGGACUAUGGGAGUCUGCGGGCGGAGAUGAUCCGUCGGCUCUCCUCAAAAGCAUUAGCUGUGGGUGCUGGCCUCGCAUGGCACGGCCUCUUCGACGUCAUAAUGAUCGUCGUGGGCUGGAAGUGCACGGAUCGGCGCGUCCCAUGCUUCCCAACUUCUGCAUGCAUGAUCGUGGCUUGACCUCAAAUCAGGCAGGACUACCCGCUGAACUUAAGCAUAUCAUA